rnacentral:tRNA from 1 species
UCCCUGAUGGUCUAGUGGUCAGGAUUCGGCGCUCUCACUGCUGCGGCCCGGGUUCGAUUCCUGGUCAGGGAA